rnacentral:rRNA from 1 species
UCGGACUGCAGUCUGCAACUCGACUGCACGAAGCUGGAAUCGCUAGUAAUCGCGGAUCAGCACGCCGCGGUGAAUACGUUCCCGGGCCUUGUACACACCGCCCGUCACACCAUGGAAGUCUGCAAUGCCCGAAGCCGGUGGCCUAACCACUUAUGUGGAAGGAGCCGUCUAAGGCAGGGCAGAUGACUGGGGUGAAGUCGUAACAAGGUACC